AUGCUCGGCCGCCUUGCCUCAAUCGUCCUGAAGGAGCUUCUCAAGGGUCAGAAGGUAUUUCUCGUUAUAUGCGGAGAAAUUUUCAUCUCUAGCGGUCUCGUUAGACAGAAGAUGAAAUACACGUGGUUCCUUCGUAAGUGUAUGAACACCAAAACCUCUCAUCGUCCUAUUCACUUUCAUGCUCCAUCCAAGAUCUUUUGGCGCACUGUUCAUGGAAUGAUUCCACACAAGACCAAGCGUGGAGAGGCUUCACUUGCUAGGUUAAAAGUAUAA